GCUCCGACGGGUUGGCACGCUGCCUGCUAGAGAGGUUUCGACACAUUCACAGGCCCCUGCUCAACGGCGAGCGGGCGCCCUUCCCGAUCGAACGGGACCUGGACAAAGGCGUCCUGCUGGCAACAGCGGGACGCC
rnacentral:sRNA from 1 species